rnacentral:rRNA from 1 species
UACGGAGGGGGCUAGCGUUGUUCGGAAUUACUGGGCGUAAAGCGCACGUAGGCGGCUUUGCAAGUUAGAGGUGAAAGCCCAGGGCUCAACCCUGGAAUUGCCUUCGAUACUGAGAGUCUUGAGUUCGGAAGAGGUUGGUGGAACUGCGAGUGUAGAGGUGAAAUUCGUAGAUAUAUGGAAGAACACCUGUGGCGAAAGCGGUUUUCUAGCUCAACCCUGACACUGAGGCACGAAAGCAAGGGGAGCAAAC